rnacentral:ncRNA from 2 species
CUAGAUAUUGGGGUUCACGGUCCAGACCAUCCAGGUCCGGCGAGAAGAGGGAAUCCGGUGCGCCGCCCGCGGGCGGCAAGUCCGGAGCUGACUCCGCAACUGUAGGCGGCCAGUCCGUCCGCGCACCAGCGUCACUGGCGACCACGUCGCCGGGAAGACCAAGCGGCCAGGGCGUCGACCCGCAAGCCAGGAAACCUGCCGUGACAGUACGUGCUCG